CAGCACCUCAAGUGGUCAGGAUGAUUAUUGGGCCUAAAGCAUCCGUAGCCGGCGCUGUAAGUUUUCGGUUAAAUCUGUACGCUCAACGUACAGGCUGCCGGGAAUACUGCAGCGCUAGGGAGUGGGAGAGGUAGACGGUACUCGGUAGGAAGGGGUAAAAUCCUUUGAUCUAUUGAUGACCACCUGUGGCGAAGGCGGUCUACCAGAACACGUCCGACGGUGAGGGAUGAAAGCUGGGGGAGCAAACCGGAUUAGAGACCCGAGUAAUCC
rnacentral:rRNA from 1 species